rnacentral:misc_RNA from 1 species
UAAAGAAAAGAGAAAAAUAAAGGGAGAAAGCAAGGGAGAAGCUGCAGAGACAGAGAAUUCAAGAAUGGGAAGCAAUGGAGAAGGAAAGCGAGGAGAGAGAGAGGAGGAGACGAGAGGAACAGCUUAUAUUUGAGAGAGAACGUGAAGAAAGAAUGCACAAGAGGAGGUCAGAUUGGAAGAAGAGGAUUGACGAGACGGUAGGUCAGCAUCGAGUUGAAAUGAGCCAGGUCCAGACUCGGAUACUUCACGAACAACAAAAUCUUACUAGUCAGCUUCUUGGAAUUUUUUCUCAGUGGACUGGUCAUCCAACGGGGCUUUCUGAUCACACAGGAGCUAG